rnacentral:rRNA from 1 species
UUGGUGACCAGCGGAGGGAUCAUUACCGAGUUUACAACUCCCAAACCCAAUGUGAACGUUACCAAACUGUUGCCUCGGCGGGAUCUCUGCCCCGGGUGCGUCGCAGCCCCGGACCAAGGCGCCCGCCGGAGGACCAACCAAAACUCUUUUUGUAUACCCCCUCGCGGGUUUUUUUAUAAUCUGAGCCUUCUCGGCGCCUCUCGUAGGCGUUUCGAAAAUGAAUCAAAACUUUCAACAACGGAUCUCUUGGUUCUGGCAUCGAUGAAGAACGCAGCGAAAUGCGAUAAGUAAUGUGAAUUGCAGAAUUCAGUGAAUCAUCGAAUCUUUGAACGCACAUUGCGCCCGCCAGUAUUCUGGCGGGCAUGCCUGUCCGAGCGUCAUUUCAACCCUCGAACCCCUCCGGGGGGUCGGCGUUGGGGAUCGGCCCUCCCUUAGCGGGUGGCCGUCUCCGAAAUACAGUGGCGGUCUCGCCGCAGCCUCUCCUGCGCAGUAGUUUGCACACUCGCAUCGGGAGCGCGGCGCGUCCACAGCCGUUAAACACCCAACUUCUGAAAUGUUGACCUCGGAUCAGGUAGGAAUACCCGCUGAACUUAAGCAUAUCAAUAAAGCGGAGGA